UUCACUCUGGGGGGAGGCAGGCAGCCACUGGCUGCCGCCGGCCGCCGACUCCGAUCCGACAUCUGGAGGCUAGAUUCCAGGAGGAGAGAUGGAGUCUUGCAGGCAGAUGUCAGCUUUGAAGGUCAAAGGGAGCCAAGGAGAAAGAGGCCGCCAGGGUCCCACGCUUCCCCACCCAAGAUUCUGGGAGAGAGGAAGCCCAGCAGAUUCAUCAACUGUAAGAUAUGUACCAUUUGUGUGGGGAUUGAUCGUGGAGGAGGCUGUGCACAUGUCGGGGCAGAGGGUGAGGAAGCCGAGGCUCAGAGAGGUGAGCCAAGGUCACGUCACAGCUGGAAGCUAUGGAGCAAGGACCCUCCUGCCUCCUGGUCAACAGACCCUGGUGUUUCUGCCUGUAUUUAGCAGAGCUUUGCCCACUGUUACUGCACAGUAGAUGUUGCUGACUCUUCAAACAAGGGCCAUGCACACCUGAAGUCCCAGAAGUCCUCUGUGAUCUGUCAAGCUGAGUGGGUCACCUGUUUGGUGAUGAUCCAGUGGCUCCAAGGGAUGUGCUUUAGGGGGUUACGAGAGGUCCCUGUGGCCAUAGCAUCGUCAUUCAUGGAUCCAGGCUGGACCAGACCCGGCCCUGCUCCCUCCAGAUGCCGUUUGCACCACCUCGUGGAGUAUAAGCCCCAAACAUUGCUGCCCCUUUCAUUCACCUGCAGCCUCUUUGCUGGGGUUCCUGGGCUGCCUUACGUCUCUUGCUUUCUUGGAUUUGCCGUGCAGCCCUGGGUCACCUUCCAGUGGACUUUGUUCCUUUCUCCUUGCCAGGAGCGUGGCAUGCCAUAUCUGCUGUCGGAUAUCCCGGGUUCGAGUCAGCUUUGCUACUCUGGCUAUGUGGCUUUGGGCACGCUCCUGAGCUUCUCUGAGCUUCCGUCUGCUCCUCUGUGAUGGGGGUCACAAUAAUAGACCCGCCGAAACUCUGUGGGACUGACUAAGGGCAGGGAGAUGAGCAGCUCACGCUGUGCCCAGCACCUCACACAUACUUGGGAAGAACUCGAGGUCAGUCCUCAGGGCAGAGGCAGGCUGGCAGUGGGCCGGGGAGGGGGCGGGGAGCUUCAUGUGUCUCCCAUGACUCAGUCCUGUCCAAGGAGCGGGGAGUCAAGGCCAGGCCUCUGAGGUCGGGCGCCUUGGGACCUCCCGUCCUCCUCCUCCCCACUCUGCCCUCGGCCUGCUCCCCACCCAGCGCUUCCGGCAGCGCCGGGCAGGGCCUCACGCAUUCUCCGCUGGCCGCCUGGGCACGCCCUCCAUCCUUCCCCAGAUCCGCAGCUCCGUGGCCCAAGGGCUCGGACACUGGCCCAUCGUGGACCACCUUGAGCUAGCGCCACAGCCCGCAGCCUAAGGCAGAGGAGCGGUGACGCAGAGAGGGGAUGCGGGCAGAGGGAGGGUCUUUUCUGGCUGCUGGAGCGGAGCUGCAGCUCCUGCCAGGGAAACCCUCUCUCCUCUCUGCCGCGGAGCCUUUCCCAGCCCUGCCCCUCUCCCCUCUGCUUCUCAAAUUUCAGCUUCUGCAUUACUGGCAUCACAGCCUGCCGCUGUGGUCACUGCACCAGACAGACAUUAACCCCCAGUGUGCUGGUGGGAGCAACGUGGCUGCAUGUGGGCGCAGGUCCAGAGAGGCCGAGGGAGGAGACUGCCACCCGGAAGCCUUCCUUCGCUCCAGCCAGCUUCCCCUCCAGGGAGCUUGCUCGCUGCCUUUCUCCCUGUUGGCCCAGACUUGAAGCCAAAGCCCUCCCUGACCCUUAGGAGUUGCUCCUUCCUUUCCUGUCUGGGCCCUGACUCUCAUCCACAGCACGUGGGUUCUGUAUCACCAUGAACCUGGCCUUGUCAUUUUAGCAGACGGUUCUCGCCCUCCACAUCCCUCAGCUCCCCUCUUGCACCUGGCCUUACCUGGGCAGGGCCAGAACCCUGGGACCAGGUGAGUGAGUUCUCAGCCUGAAGGCUGUUCUGGGGACAAUCACAGCAAGGUCAUUGAGAGGAGCCUGAAGGGAGCCAGGCACUGGUGCAGACUGGCCGGGUGACCCUGGCAAGUUCCCGGGGAAUAACAGGAUUGGGGGUCCAUAGUGAGGAUGAAACGGGGGAUGCAGGUAAAGCCACCAGAGCAGCCUGUGUCAGGCACAUGCGCGGCCCAGACUUCUCAUGCCCAUAUGCACAGGGGCCUCCUGGCAUGCUGAGCCCACCUCCCCAGGGAGAGCUCCUCCCAUUUCCCAUCAGCUUCCCCCCUCGCAGCCCACCCAGGUCUGCUUUCUCAUCAGAGCAGGCGUCCGUCCCUCCCCUGGCCUGGCCGGUCCCAUCCUCAGAUGGGGCUGGACGUCCUGCCUUCUCUCCCCAUCCCUGUCUCCUUCAGAGGAGAGCCUGCAGUCCAGAGGGAGACUGGAUAGCAUCUUGAGCUCAGCAGCACCCCUCUAGUCCUCCUCCCUGAUUCUCCUGCUUCCUGCUUUCCUUCUGAACCCCAAAUGCUCCCUCGCGGUUUCCUGUGGCGCCUCUGGUGACCCUUUGUCUCCUCCGGCCAUGGUUCCCUUGGUGCCUUGACCGACUCAGCCUCCUUUAUAUUGACCGGAAGCCCAGAGGCCCUGUCCUUCCCUCCCCUGCACCCCUGGUCCCCCUUUCCUGCUAUGCUGAGACCCAGGCUCCUGGUGGGAUUGUUGUAGCCGCCCUGACGGCUUACAACCAACCAGCCAUUGCUGUCUAAAAUGGAAAGUCCAGCCAGAAUGGCCAUUCACUGAGUUUUUAUAAGGGGGAUGCACCCAAUCGAAGCAGACGACCUGGCUCCUUCUAGUUGACAUGUUGCAAAGCAGCAGAGGAACAUUUCCCAGGGUUGGGGGUUGGGGGGGCCUGGACAGGGCGAGUUGGUCGAGGAAGAGAAGAGAAGGCAGGAGGCUCCCCACCAUGGGCUACAGUGUCAGGCCUGGAAACACGGAGUGGGAGAGUGGGACCAGAGAGAGGAGACAGGGAACACGUCACAGGUGGGUUCCAGCCCCCUUGUCAAGGGUUCACUUGUGAGCAAAGUGAAUCAGAUCAGCCUGUUAGAAGGAAGCGGGCAUCUGGUGAUCGGGGCCUGGUGGCUGGGGAUUUGGGGCCGUGGGGUUGUAGGAAGUUGAGUGGUCAGAGCUUCUACCCUAGUAUGUGCAGUUGGGUUUCCCAGAUGUGCUCAGGGUGAGCCUGGACAAAAAACAUUGUGUGUGCUAGUCGCCCCCUAGUGGUUGGGGGACCCUAGUCUUGUUGGCCCAGGACUCUCCCUGUGGAUAGGGUAGGAAAGGGGACCAGGGCAUUGGCGGGUAUCGCAGUUUGCUACAAACCCCAACAGAGGCGUGUGACCCCCAUUCUGCCUUCCUGGGUGCAUUUAGGAUCAUCUCCCAGGCAAGGGCUUUAUGCUUCUAUGGGGCCUCAUCCCUGCUCCUAUAGCUGGUAUCCACACCCCUCAACCCCAAGAAGGCCGGGAUUCCCUGUGUGCACGUGAGCAUGUGGGCCAUGAAACGUCAGCUGGAGCCUGAAUGGUCAUCUUGUCCAUCCACCCGCUGCUCCUGUCACGUUUGUGUAGAGGAUAAAGCUUCAGAUUAGGGUUGGGGCCCCCGUUUCUGCUUCAGGCUCCAUCUCCAAUUCUCCAUACUUCCUGAGGGAAGUUCCUUAACUUUCUCUGUACCUCCUUCGUGGUCUCCCUUCUGUGGCAGCAGAAUUCUCCUAUGGCCCCCGAUGACCUUUGCUCUCGUGAACUCCCUACAUUGGGUGUGGGUGGAACCUGUGACUCCGCCAUCACUCCCGUGAUUAGGUUAUAAGUUGCCUAAGAGAUAGGUUAUCCAAGUGGGCCUGACCUAAUCACUCAAAGCCAUUAAAAAAAAAAUAGUUUUCUCCAGCUGCUUGUGGAAGGUGAGAUUAGAGAGAUUCAAAGCCAGAGAGGGAAUCGAUGUGUGGGACGCACUCUGUUCCUCAGAUGGAGGGACCACAGGGCCUGAGGAUGGUCUACAGGAGCCGACAACCCACAAGAUGAUGGGACCUCAGUCCUACAGCUGCAGGAAUUGAAUCCUGCUGACAACCAGUGAGUUUGCAGCCCCACCAACACCUCAGUUUCACCCAGCAGGACUCUGAGCUGAGAGCCCAGCCAUGCCACGUCUGGCAAUGAUAAAUGGUACUGUUUCAAGCCAAUGCUGCUGCUGCAACCCCACAGACAGCCACCCACCAGGCU